CUAUAUAAUUAAUAUCCAGAAUAUAUAUACUUGCUAUGUAAAUAUACAAACACUAUACUGGUCGCCUUACAAAAUUAGGAGCUUGCUGAAAGAUCUCUGACAGGAUGCAAACGUGUAUCAUUCAAUGACUUGCAGAACCUCAACCACUGGGCUAGUGGUUGGACGGACUGGAACCUGGCCUUAGAUACAGAAGGAGGCCCCAAUUGGGCUAAAUACUUCGUUGACUCGCCCAUCAUCGUGAACGCCACAGCUCAGGAGUUCUACAAGCAGCCACUGUACUACGUUCUAGGCCACUUUAGUAAAUUCAUCCCAAGAGGCAGUGUCAAAGUGGACGCGCGCAUGAAGGAAGGUUCAGAAAAGCUCGAGUACGCAGCCUUCAUGACGCCAGCAUCUACAAUCGUUGUGAUCAUCCUCAACAAGGGUGACGAACCUGUCAAGCUCAGAAUCAACGACGUGCUUGGCAUUGCCAGCAUCCAGUACACCAUCUACGAAAGGUCGAUAACGACGUUUAUAUGGGAAAACGAGAAGCAGGCAAAAGAUCAGUCUAAUCUCCAAAGAAACUUCCAAAUAAACAAGACAAUAGGACAGUUUUUAUA